rnacentral:rRNA from 1 species
AGAGUUUGAUCCUGGCUCAGAAUCAACGCUGGCGGCGCGCUUAACACAUGCAAGUCGAACGAGAAAGGGUAGCAAUACCUGAGUAAAGUGGCGUACGGGUGAGUAACACGUGGAUCAUAUGCCUUUUAGUGGGGAAUAACUUUGGGAAACCGAAGCUAAUACCGCAUAAUCCCGAGAGGGGAAAGCAGCAAUGCGCUGAAAGAGUAGUCCGCGGCUGAUUAGCUAGUUGGUGAGGUAAUGGCUCACCAAGGCUUUGAUCGGUAGCCGGCCUGAGAGGGCACACGGCCACACUGGCACUGAAACACGGGCCAGACUCCUACGGGAGGCAGCAGUGGGGAAUCUUGCACAAUGGACGAAAGUCUGAUGCAGCGACGCCGCGUGAGCGAUGAAGCCCUUCGGGGUGUAAAGCUCUUUCGACAGGAACGAUAAUGACGGUACCUGGAGAAGAAGCUGCGGCUAACUACGUGCCAGCAGCCGCGGUAAUACGUAGGCAGCGAGCGUUGUUCGGAAUUACUGGGCGUAAAGCGUGCGUAGGCGGUGCUACAAGUUCGGUGUGAAAUCUCCCGGCUCAACUGGGAGGGUGCGCCGAAAACUGUAGUGCUCGAGUGUGGGAGAGGUAAGCGGAAUUCCUGGUGUAGCGGUGAAAUGCGUAGAUAUCAGGAGGAACACCGGCGGUGUAGACGGCUUACUGGACCAUAACUGACGCUGAGGCACGAAAGUGUGGGUAGCAAACAGGAUUAGAUACCCUGGUAGUCCACACCCUAAACGAUGCAUACUUGGUGUGAGCCAUUCAUUUGGUU